rnacentral:rRNA from 1 species
GAUGAACGCUGGCGGCGUGCCUAACACAUGCAAGUCGAGCGAUUCUCUUCGGAGAAGAGCGGCGGACGGGUGAGUAACGCGUGGGUAACCUGCCCUGUACACACGGAUAACAUACCGAAAGGUAUGCUAAUAUGAGAUAAUAUACUUUUAUCGCAUGGUAGAAGUAUCAAAGCUUUUGCGGUACAGGAUGGACCCGCGUCUGAUUAGCUAGUUGGUAAGGUAACGGCUUACCAAGGCGACGAUCAGUAGCCGACCUGAGAGGGUGAUCGGCCACAUUGGAACUGAGACACGGUCCAAACUCCUACGGGAGGCAGCAGUGGGGAAUAUUGCACAAUGGGCGAAAGCCUGAUGCAGCAACGCCGCGUGAGCGAUGAAGGCCUUCGGGUCGUAAAGCUCUGUCCUCAAGGAAGAUAAUGACGGUACUUGAGGAGGAAGCCCCGGCUAACUACGUGCCAGCAGCCGCGGUAAGAC